rnacentral:tRNA from 2 species
GGGCUCGUAGCUCAGCUAGGUAGAGCAAUCGGCUCUUAACCGAUCGGCCAGGGGUUCGAAUCCCCUCGAGCCCG